AUUGCAAUAGCUUAAGUUAGAGUAUAAUAUUGAAGAUAUUAGGGUGAUUAUAUUCUUGUGAUA
rnacentral:tRNA from 1 species